AAAUCAGUGGCAUUCUUAUACCUGAACCUCCAAAUCUGGGACACAGCAGGGCAAGUUGACUAUGACCGCCUGCGGCCCCUCUUCUACCCCGACGCCAGCGUCCUUCUCCUCUGCUUCGAUGUCACCAGCCCGCACAGCUUUGACAACAUCUCUAACCGGUGGUACUCAGAGGUGAACCACUUCUGCAAGGAGGUGCCCAUCGUUGUCGUGGGCUGCAAGACUGACCUGCGCAAGGACAAGUCGCUGGUGAAGAAGCUGCGGAAAAAUAGGUUGGAGCCUGUGACCUACCACAGGGGCCAGGAGAUGGCAAGGUCCGUGGGCGCAGUGGCCUACCUCGAGUGCUCAGCCCUGCUCCAAGAAAACGUCCACGCGGUCUUCCAGGAAGCAGCGCAGGUGGCCCUCAGCAGCCGCAGUCGCAACUUCUGGAGGAGGGUUACCCGGAGCUGUUGCGUGGUGACCUGACAUCUUGAGGCCCUCCCUGCCCCAACCCCCCAGCAGCUCAGGAAGGAGCUGGGUGCUGAGCUGCCCAGUUGGCUGGGCUGGACCCAGUCCCGAGGCUGUGAUCACCGAACUGCACCUCAAACAGAUGGACACCACCGAGGCCGGGCCCCUGACCCUGGGGCUGCAAUCCCUGGACUAGAGCGUAACCCCCACUGCAAGGCCUGAGGAAGGGGCUUCCAGAGCCCACCUGCCUGGUAAAGGGCUACUCCUGGGGUCCCCUAAAAAUGACGACCAGACUCCCAGCUCCCAGCCUGGACCCACACAUCCGGAAGCAGCCUGUUCAGGGCUGCACCUUCGGGACCUGGCACUCCCAGGACCCUGGGCCACUACUCACACCCUUCCCCAUCCCCUUGCCCCCUGCCCAUCCAGUGGUAACUAU